rnacentral:rRNA from 1 species
ACGGGAGGCAGCAGUGGGGAAUAUUGCGCAAUGGGGGCAACCCUGACGCAGCAAUACCGCGUGAGUGAAGAAGGUUUUCGGAUCGUAAAGCUCUGUUAUUGGGGAAGAAAACAUGACGGUACCCAAUGAGGAAGUCCCGGCUAACUACGUGCCAGCAGCCGCGGUAAUACGUAGGGGACAAGCGUUGUCCGGAAUGACUGGGCGUAAAGGGCGCGUAGGCGGUCUAUUAAGUCUGAUGUGAAAGGUACCGGCUCAACCGGUGAAGUGCAUUGGAAACUGGUAGACUUGAGUAUUGGAGAGGCAAGUGGAAUUCCUAGUGUAGCGGUGAAAUGCGUAGAUAUUAGGAGGAACACCAGUGGCGAAGGCGGCUUGCUGGACAAAUACUGACGCUGAGGUGCGAAAGCGUGGGGAGCGAACAGGAUUAGAUACCCUGGUA